rnacentral:lncRNA from 1 species
CGUUGCCGUGUUUAAGUAGCAACCCUGAGCCAUCUCUCCUACUCUUUGUUUAGUUACUUCUGAAUACCUGGAAUUACUGAACUCACUUCCUCUUAUCACCCAGCAUUUAUUAAUCUUAGUAGACAAGGCAGACAGAAAUAAUUAUGUUUGUUAUAUAACGAAAUCUUGAGAAAUCAUCAGAAGUCUUUCUUCAGAUGUCUCCCUUAAAAAUUAAUACUACCAUUUGUGCCACAGGCCCCCGACAUUGAAAAAGCUUGUGAAAAAGGAAGUGUUACCUGAUCCUUGAGAAAAUGCUGACUUGUUAACUGGAAAGAUCCAUGUCUGUGGCAAUUCUCAGCCUUUUCCAGGAAGAGUCUCCUCCCCAUGUGACCUCAGAUUGCCUCUGCAAGUCACAG